AAAUUUUAUAGCAGUUUGAUUUUAAAUUUGACAGUUCUGUUUUCUCAAGUCAAAAAUCUUAACCUUACUUUUACAAGUGAUUAGGAUUAUUAUUAUUUUAUUUACAUGUAAAUUGAAAAUAUAAAUAUUGUGCUGUGUCAUAAUUUCAAACUCAUUAUGUUGCAGUCUUUUCCAGUUGAUAAAAUUGCAAUUCAAAAACUUAGGUAGAUUUGCACUGUAUGGAUGAUGGCACAGGAAGAGAACAAGAGUACAAGAACAUGAAACAUCUUAUUAUGAAUGUAUAUGUAUGUGAUCCUCAAAAAAUUAUUUUACAAAACAAGAUAGAGAAAGAGCUUUAAAAUCCCAAGGAUCCUACAAAAUGUUUAUUUGGUGUACUAGUCGAAUAAUAGUAUCUAAAAAUAUUGAAACUAUUUUAAAACACAUUACGGGCAUGAGGAUGAUAUAGAGCACUUACAUAAAUACCAAAAUCAGAUAAAUAUCUCUUCAAAGUUUAUUUUGAGGCUUUCUUCCAAAAUUAAACUUCAGACUGUUCAGGAUAGUAUAAUAGCAUAUGAGGCGAAUUAAAAAGAAUUGAUUUACUUACAAGAUAUCACAAACAUUAAACUCUCUUAUGGCAUUGAUUUGAAAGAUGGGUAUAUAUGUACAAUGAUGAUGCAACCAGUGUUUAUUUUUGGGUUGAAUGCUUACAGUUGACGCAUCGAUAAUUAUUUGUCGAAACGACCAUGUGUUGUAUCAAAUAUAAUUUGUAUUCUGAAUAUCCAAUCGACUUGGGAUUUUUUUAUUUUGCCUGCUAGAGGGUUAAUAGCUUUUUGGGUAGACCUCUAAGUGAUGCAGAUACAUACAAUUUUAGUAAGUAUUUCCAGUAGAACUACUGCAAUAACAUCCAACAAUGGGCCUAUUGUUAUAGGAAGGGGUUGUGGAAUUAAUACCAAUAUGACCAUUCAAAAUUUUCAUAAAAUUUUGGAUAAAAGGGUAUCCAUUAGUUGUUAUCAGUUAAGUUUAAAACUUGGCACUCAUGGAGAGCUAUACCAUAAUAUAUAAUAAGUAUAUUAUCUCAUAAUAUUACAUCUCAUAUUGUUCACUACAGUAGUAAUGAGUGAGCCUGCAUACACAGAACCAUAAUAAUAUAUUAUAGUUUGUGUAUGCAGGCUCACUCAUUACAAUAGUGAGCAAUAUGAGAUAUAACAUAUUAUAGUAUAAGUCUCUGUGCAUGACCAGAUUAACAUGUUUGGUGCCCAUCUUGAACAAGCUCCACUUGGCUGGUACCACAUACUUAAAUCAUUUGUUUAGUUACACAGCACUACUCACAUAACUUAUGUGUCGUCAGUACCUUCCGUAAAACCUUCGUGAUGCUACCCAUACGUCAUGGCCACUGAAUGUGUUAAAGUUUGUUAAUGUAGGAGAGUUAUACUAAAAUAUAUAUCUUAUAUUGCCUUAAAUAGAAAAAAUAUCUUAUUUAAAUUGUACCCAUGUAAGUUUUGAUAUAAUGAAAUAAACCUUUUAAUCAAAAAAGUGUUGUUUACUU